rnacentral:lncRNA from 12 species
GCCAAAUCCACUGGUUGUCCAUGUGAUUAAAGACUCAACCUUGAAUCUGCAGUUACUCUUUCUCUUACAACUCAGUCACGAGCAAUAAUGGUUUAGUUACCUUCCCAGGGGUCCUGCCUGCAAUAGCUCACCCAAAUGUUGACC